rnacentral:lncRNA from 1 species
UGGGUCCUUUGUCCCCAUUCCGGACUUCCCGGCCAUUUUAACGAGUUCAGACUAAACAGUUUCUUUAGCAAUACAUAUUUGUCACUUGUAACAAAUUUAGAAAGACAGGAGAUCUUUGGUGAGCCAAGCGAUCACAAAUACUGAUGUGGAGGUCUCGCUUCCCAUGUUUUUAUUUUCGGCUGUAAAGGACUAAACACUGGAGAAAAUAGCACCAUUUCUUCCACUAUCUCGACUUAAGGACAAACCUGAUCCCAAACUCUUCGCGCAGUAAAGAUUCCUGUUCAAAUUUUAUAUGUCACACUGUCCUAGAAGUUAAAACACAAAAAAAACAUGAAAUAAAAGUCAAUCAACAAUUCUCACCAGCUGUGCCACCAUGUCCCAUGGUGGGGAAGCCACACAGGUCAUCUGAGCAUCCAAGCUGCUUUUCAAGAAAUCUCCAAUUCCAGGAAGAAUGAGAACAUCAUUCUGUUGUGGGGUGCUCAUCAGAGAAGACUUCUCGGACAUGGGUUUUAGCCAAUAGAAAAUCUUUCUUAGCUGACCAAUGACUGACUACACUGUGUGUUCCAGAUCACGGUGUAGCACUGAGCCUUUCUCAGGGUUGAGCCUUUAAGCACAAAAAUCAUAGCCCAGGUUGACAUACUUCAGUUAUCAAGAACAGUUAGCCAGAAGCAGAACACCGAAGCCAGAAAACAAGGGUGGUACUUCUAGGGACUCUCCCAGAACUAUGGACUUUGAUGAAUUGAGUUUUUGUUUUAGUUUUGGCAGGUAGUGCCACCUACUACAUACAGCCUGAAUGGCAUUCAAUUAGGGAGUCAGCUGUGCUAAGGUCUCAGGGCCUGUUACAUUCCAAAGUUGCAGAACUAAAGAAUGUGUCUGUGAGAACAAAGCUCACCUGGUAGAUGAUUGUGGAAUUCCAGAACAAACGUGUGUAAAGAAUUCAUGUUUCUAUUUCAUUCUUCCUAUUUUCCAGAUGUUAUUCUACUGACAGGAAAGAAAGGCUAUGUGAAAGGCCCCUUUCUGAGCCCUAGUAAUUGCUUGUUAGUAAUCAUGAAAGCAUCAUGAGUUCAUGAAUGUUUCUUCUUUAAAAUUAUUAUAAUACCAUUUGUAUUCAUAAAUUAAGUGUAAAACAUGAUAAUAGUCAAAAG